rfam:Aedes aegypti strain Liverpool supercont1.798 genomic scaffold, whole genome shotgun sequence.
UGCUUAGCAACUCCUAUUCCUAUCUCUUCGCGGUACAGGACGGGGUACGAGUAACAUUAGGGAAUAUCGAGUAACCAUCCCCCGGUGGAAACUUUGGUCGUAUGCUGACAGGGAAAG